rnacentral:tRNA from 1 species
GGAGUGUAGCUCAAUGGUAGAGCAAUUGACUUUGAAUCAAUUUAUUCCAGUUCAAUUCUGGACACUCUCGCCA